rnacentral:tRNA from 2 species
CGGGGUGUAGCUCAGUUGGCUAGAGCGCUACGUUUGGGACGUAGAAGUCGGAGGUUCAAGUCCCCCCACCCCGACCA